UACGGGGGGAGCAAGCGUUGUUCGGAUUUACUGGGCGUAAAGGGCGCGUAGGCGGUCAGCACAAGUCAGUUGUGAAAUCUCCGAGCUUAACUCGGAAAGGUCAACUGAUACUGUGCGACUAGAGUGCGGAAGGGGCAACUGGAAUUCUUGGUGUAGCGGUGAAAUGCGUAGAUAUCAAGAGGAACACCUGCGGCGAAGGCGGGUUGCUGGGCCGACACUGACGCUGAGGCGCGAAAGCCAGGGGAGCGAACGGG
rnacentral:rRNA from 1 species